UGCUCAUGCGGGGAAGGAUGAGAAGCUUCGACUAAGGUUCGACUCGAGCGCCAGCGAGAGAGCGUUGCCGCAGGCAACGACCCGUAGGGCGAAGCGCGCAGCGCUGAGUAAUCCUUCCCCCACCACCA
rnacentral:sRNA from 1 species